UUUUGUAUAAUAAAUUGAAAGCACCAUGAAUUUGACUAAGCAUCCUAAGGCACUGGAGUUUCUAUUUUUUUCCCAGUGUAUCUGCCAUAAAAAACCACAAACCUCUCAAGUGUAAGGACCAUGUCUUACUCAUCUUCCCAUCCCUGUCCUGCUGACGCCAUCGUACUCAGCGGUUUGCAGUGAGUUUUGAAUGAAUGAAACUGCUCGCUCGUUGCUCCUGCCCCACCUUCCCUGGCCCUCCUCAAGUCCUGACAGCUGAGUGAUCUGCAUGCUCAGUCUCGCCACGUCCCCAGAUCGAUGACAUCUAAGACAGGAAUUCCUGUUCAAGUAGCCACAGCUCUGCUCGCUGUCCAAAAUGUGGCCUCCACUCACCUCCCACCCCUGAGAGUCUAGCUUGGGGGCUGGUGCCUGGGAGCUGGCCACGAGUGUUCCACGGCUGCUAUUUGAGUCACAGAUUCUCCGCCAUCCCGCACCCUUUGGGGCUACUGAAACCUGGAGUCUUGCACCUUUGGGUUCAUCACUAGGCACCUGGUUCCUCUGCUUCAGUUUCCGCACUCCAGACGAGCCGUGUGGAGAAUGAAAAAGGUUUUCCACACACUGACUAAACGCCCUGCUCAGUGCCUAAGAUAGAAAUUGACAACCAAAGCCCCACCUGUCUUCUGUCUUGGCCAUGAAAAUUCCAGUCAGUAAGGUGAUGUAGAGAACUUCCGGAGGACCCAGCACCUUCUAUGGGAAGAGCUCGUGCUACCAUCACUGGCCUACAAAGUAAU